CAGUAAUCCUUCCCCUAGACACAUGAAUAAAACUUCUGUUAAAAAAAGCAGUUUCAUGUAAACUUUCAAAAAUUGGUUUGAAAUCCCAGGAAAGAAACCGGGCCCAUUAAUUAAUCUCUGUGGAGCUUUAGGAGAGUGAGAUCAUUUGAUAAAAGGCAAUGGCUGGCUUAAUUGGAACUGAUAACCUGGGCCAUUUAUGAAGCAGACUCAGGGCACCAUGGAAGGUGCUCUGAAAUGUUCUAUCGAAGAAUAACAAAACUCUACAAACCGUGAUGGGCCGAAAGGCAUCUUCUCUACUCUGCGAUUCUGUGAUUCUAACAUUUUGCAAGAUAUUCCAAGGAUGAGCGGAGGACCAGGAAAAUCACACUUGCCGUGGACCUAUUGUGGCAGUAGGUGAACUGCAAGGGAUCGUUGCAGGCUGGGAGGCAACUUGUUA